CCUACGGGGGGCAGCAGUGAGGAAUAUUGGUCAAUGGGCGGGAGCCUGAACCAGCCAAGUCGCGUGAAGGAAGAAGGUACUUAGUAUUGUAAACUUCUUUUGUCGGGGAACAAAGUCGGAGACGUGUCGCCUGAUGAGUGUACCCGAAGAAAAAGCAUCGGCUAACUCCGUGCCAGCAGCCGCGGUAAUACGGAGGAUGCGGGCGUUAUCCGGAUUUAUUGGGUUUAAAGGGUGCGCAGGCGGGAGCUAAAGUCAGCGGUAAAAUUUCGGGGCUCAACCCCGGCCGGCCGUUGAAACUGGUUUUCUAGAGUGGGCGAGAAGUAUGCGGAAUUCGUGGUGUAGCGGUGAAAUGCAUAGAUAUCACGAAGAACUCCGAUUGCGAAGGCAGCAUACCGGCUCCAUACUGACGCUGAGGCACGAAAGCGUGGGGAUCGAACAGGAUUAGAUACCCUGGUAGUC
rnacentral:rRNA from 1 species